rnacentral:rRNA from 1 species
ACAUGCUUACAACAUAGCAUUAAUGCAUCGAAUUCCAUUAGAACUCCACAGUCACGCGUGCUCGAGAUAGAGUAGUACUAGGGUGGGUGACCACUAGAGAAUUCCUAGUGUUUUACAUGCC